rnacentral:misc_RNA from 1 species
GUGUUGCCGGGAUAUUCAAACCAGUUGGUACUCAAAAGUUGAAACACGUAUAUAACAAUUUUUAACAAAAAUUUUACGAAAUUGUGAUUUAAAUCUGGAAAUGCUCUUUUAAGAAAACAAUUUCAUAGCUUCACAAAGAAAUGAAAAAAAAGUAAUGCGAAUGAAAAAUUUGUUCAACAAGUUCUCAAAACUUAACAAGGGCAAAAUAUUUUCAUUAAAAAAGUCACAUAAUUUAGCCAAAAAUAAAGCAUACAAAAAUGCAGAAAAAUUUAUUUUUGUAUUUGUAUGUGUUUAAAAAGGAUUAAAGUAACAUACAAUUCAUAAUAAGUAUUUUGCAAAGCUAGCACAAUAAUAACAUUAUUUUACAACUUUUACAACAAUAAACGAAAACAACACAAAACCACAAAAGAAAAAUAUAAAAACACAACAAUAAAGCAAGGAUUAAACAAGGAUUAUUAAACAACAGGGAUUACCUUAACAGUAAUACAUAAAAGAUCCCGUCAUCUGAAAUACAAAUUGCGGUGUGAGUACUAAAAAACCUCAUGUACAAUAGAGCACAAUUAGUGAAGUGUGAAAUGUUAGCAUAAAGUUGAGCUUAUAUACAACGAGAUUUAAUUUCCUGUAAAGAAAAUAAGAUAAAUAUUUCUUUGAAAAGGAUAACGAAUAUUUGCAGACAGAUAUUAAAGUUCAACUGGAUAUUACUUUAAAAAAAAAACAUAAAAGCGGACAAAAAAAUCCAGAAUCCAGAAGUUAAAUUAUCAACACUAUUUUUUGCAAAGUGAUGUGAUUCCUUAUUCAUUUCCUAUUGAAUUUUAAAUGAAAUUUGUGAUUUUUAUAUCAAGAUGACAUAUUUUGUUUAAUCCUAGAAAUAUUAAUAUUUUUAAUGAAUUAUAAUAAAGAAACUAAGAACA